UGGGGAAUUUUGGACAAUGGGCGAAAGCCUGAUCCAGCAAUGCCGCGUGUGUGAAGAAGGCCUUCGGGUUGUAAAGCACUUUUGUCCGGAAAGAAAUCCUUGGCUCUAAUACAGUCGGGGGAUGACGGUACCGGAAGAAUAAGCACCGGCUAACUACGUGCCAGCAGCCGCGGUAAUACGUAGGGUGCAAGCGUUAAUCGGAAUUACUGGGCGUAAAGCGUGCGCAGGCGGUUUGCUAAGACCGAUGUGAAAUCCCCGGGGCUCAACCUGGGAACUGCAUUGGUGACUGGCAGGCUAGAGUAUGGCAGAGGGGGGUUAGAAUUCCACGUGUAGCAGUGAAAUGCGUAGAGAUGUGGAGGAAUACCGAUGGCGAAGGCAGCCCCCUGGGCCAAUACUGACGCUCAUGCACGAAAGCGUGGGGAGCAAACAGGAUUAGAUACCCUGGUAGUCCACGCCCUAAACGAUGUCAACUAGUUG
rnacentral:rRNA from 1 species